rnacentral:rRNA from 1 species
UCCACGCUGUAAACGAUGUGCACUAGGUGUAGGUGAUGUGAUAGUCAUCUGUGCCGCAGCAAACGCGAUAAGUGCACCGCCUGGGGAGUAUGCCCGCAAGGGUGAAACUCAAAGGAAUUGACGGGGGCCCGCACAAGCGGUGGAGCAUGUGGUUUAAUUCGAUGAUACGCGAGGAACC